rnacentral:rRNA from 1 species
UGAACGCUAGCGACAGGCUUAACACAUGCAAGUCGAGGGGCAGCGAGGGAGUGGCAACACUUCUGUCGGCGACCGGCGCACGGGUGAGUAACGCGUAUGCAACCUGCCCUUCACAGGGGGAUAACCGGGAGAAAUUCCGACUAAUACCGCAUACGUCCUCCGGGGGCAUCCCUGGGGGAUGAAAGAAUUAUCGGUGAAGGAUGGGCAUGCGUGAUAUUAGGUAGUUGGCGGGGCAACGGCCCACCAAGCCUACGAUAUCUAGGGGUUCUGAGAGGAAGGUCCCCCACAUUGGUACUGAGACACGGACCAAACUCCUACGGGAGGCAGCAGUGAGGAAUAUUGGUCAAUGGACGAGAGUCUGAACCAGCCAAGUCGCGUGAAGGAAGACGGAUCUAUGGUUUGUAAACUUCUUUAGUGCGGGAACAAAGCGGCGUCGUGACGCCGGAUGAGUGUACCGCAAGAAUAAGCAUCGGCUAACUCCGUGCCAGCAGCCGCGGUAAUACGGAGGAUGCGAGCGUUAUCCGGAUUUAUUGGGUUUAAAGGGAGCGCAGGCUGCGAGGCAAGUCAGCGGUCAAAUGUCGGGGCUCAACCCCGGCCUGCCGUUGAAACUGUCCUGCUAGAGUUCGAGUGAGGUAUGCGGAAUGCGUUGUGUAGCGGUGAAAUGCAUAGAUAUGACGCAGAACUCCGAUUGCGAAGGCAGCAUACCAACUCGCGACUGACGCUGAGGCUCGAAAGCGUGGGUAUCGAACAGGAUUAGAUACCCUGGUAGUCCACGCAGUAAACGAUGAAUACUAACUGUUCGGAGGGCGACCUCUGAGUGGUAAAGCGAAAGCGUUAAGUAUUCCACCUGGGGAGUACGCCGGCAACGGUGCAACUCAAAGGAAUUGACGG